UGUUUACCAAAAACAUCACCUCUAGCAUUUCCAGUAUUAGAGGCACUGCCUGCCCAGUGACAUCAGUUAAACGGCCGCGGUAUCCUGACCGUGCAAAGGUAGCAUAAUCAUUUGUUCCUUAAAUAGGGACUUGUAUGAAUGGCCACACGAGGGCUUUACUGUCUCUUACUUCCAAUCCGUGAAAUUGACCUUCCCGUGAAGAGGCGGGAAUAUGACAAUAAGACGAGAAGACCCUAUGGAGCUUUAAUUAACCGACCCAAAGAGAUCUUGAUAAUCAACCGACAGGGAUAACAUACCUCUACCAUGGGCCGACAAUUUAGGUUGGGGUGACCUCGGAGAAUAAAACAACCUCCGAGUGAUUUAAAUCUAGACUAACUAGUCGAAAGUACUACAUCACUUAUUGAUCCAAAAACUUGAUCAACGGAACAAGUUACCCUAGGGAUAACAGCGCAAUCCUAUUUUAGAGUCCAUAUCGACAAUAGGAUUG
rnacentral:rRNA from 1 species